GACAAACGCUGGCGGCGUGCUUAACACAUGCAAGUCGAACGGUGAAGCGAGUGCUUGCACUCGUGGAUCAGUGGCGAACGGGUGAGUAACACGUGAGUAACCUGCCCAUCACUCUGGGAUAAGCACUGGAAACGGUGUCUAAUACUGGAUACGACCAACCCUUGCAUGGGGUGUUGGUGGAAAGAUUUAUCGGUGAUGGAUGGACUCGCGGCCUAUCAGCUUGUUGGCGGGGUAAUGGCCCACCAAGGCGACGACGGGUAGCCGGCCUGAGAGGGUGACCGGCCACACUGGGACUGAGACACGGCCCAGACUCCUACGGGAGGCAGCAGUGGGGAAUAUUGCACAAUGGGCGAAAGCCUGAUGCAGCGACGCCGCGUGAGGGAUGACGGCCUUCGGGUUGUAAACCUCUUUCAGCAGGGAAGAAGCGAAAGUGACGGUACCUGCAGAAGAAGCACCGGCUAACUACGUG
rnacentral:rRNA from 1 species